AAGUGGAGGACAUGUGCCUCUUCCUCUCACCCCUGAUUGUUUUGUUGGCCUCCUCCUCUGGUCCAGAUCAUGUGCUGUAGACCCUGGUCCUCGGUCACAUGCUCGUGUGUAUGAUGACGAAGGGAGCGGCCAUGUAGGUGACGUUCAACCGGCUGGAACACAGUGAUAAACAAACAGAUUCUGGGGCCUUUUCCUUCCAGGCCACGGUGAGGAGCUCUGUCUGCCAGCCCUGGUCUCGGCUUUGGCUCUGCUCCCACACUGGCCAUAGCAACACUCCAGUCUCCCACCAUAGCGGCACACACCUGGUUGGUUUCCAGUAAGGACUUGUCGGUAGUGCCUUUGUAGAUGAAGAGAGAGAGAGAGUAGAAGGCAAACAGCAGAAAGCCUGUCAGAACACAGUUCUCAAUGGAUGGUAUGCAGCCUCACCCAGCAGUAAAGGAUCUAAUGCUCCUUACAUUUGUGAGCAUGCAGGGCCUCAGGGCAUGUUCCAGAAAUCAGCCUCAACAGGCCAAGUAGUACAUUGUUCAUCUCCGAUUACAGCCCAGG